GGCCUCUCAGUUUGCGUGCCGCGCCGCUGCGCUGGCUGUGGCGGGAGCCGGCGGCGGCGGCGCUCUGCAAAAUACCAGCUGGAGCGGUCGAGCGAAUGCUCAGACUCGUGGGCGACAGUCUGACGGCGUCCUGUGGACGAAGAUAGCGAAGCAUUUGCGUGGAUGGCGCGGUAGGCGGCUCGUCCGCCACCCGGGUGACGGAGACCUCAUGAUGCGCUUCCUACCGAGUCUUGCCCAUGCGGAGGCGAUGCGGCGCCGAGCCACCGAGGCGUCCCGACCGGCGCUGGCGCGAAUAGUGGCUUGUCACCCAAAGUUUAACGGAGGCAUGGUGGUGCUAAGGACAUUCGGCGCGGCACCGUCUGUCACGGGAUUGACAGUUUUGCAUAGAGUGAACCCUUCGGUGGAAAUAUGGUGCGGGUCGGGGUGAUUUGAAUGAGAUAGUUGUGAGGAUGAUCAGAUGAUAGACAAGAGCGGGAGGCGGGGAGGAAUUACACCGGUGCUAGGUUAAGUUCGUUAUGAUCAAAUUAUAACUGUGAUAAUUGUACGAUUCAUUCGCUACGAUUCAUUUGCUGUGCAAUUGGUCAUUGUGACGUUCAUCCCCCUCUCCCGUGGCCGUAUGUAUGAGAACGAUAGUUCCGGUGAGUUUUAACUGACAUUCGUUAUCAUGAUGGAUGUAAUUGUUUGGCGGACUUUUCUGUACAUUUAACACGACCUGUGUGCUUCCCCUACUGCGAUAUUACUGAUAUAACGAUUAGAAUGCCAUGAAUUUCACGCAUCAGACCUGUUUUUGCCGUUUGUGAGACUAUUCGGCGCGGUGAGAGCUGGUAUCUGCAAAGCUGAGUUCGGACCGAGCAUGUUGGUUCUGCGCUGUGCUCGUGGUAAAUUCACAUCAUUUAUACAAUUGAAUGACAGCUCAAGUUUCGCCUCAGUUUUGCGUGUGAGUGGUGAAGCUUGUUUCCGUUUUAAAUCCGUUAAUGUGCGUUUUGUUCGCAUAUUUUUUAAACCGGACUUCUUGAAGUAUGGGGACGAAUAUACGAAUCGCUGGGAGGGAUGCA